rnacentral:rRNA from 1 species
UGGCGGCAGGCUUAACACAUGCAAGUCGAGCGGAGAGAGGUAGCUUGCUACUGAUCUUAGCGGCGGACGGGUGAGUAAUGCUUAGGAAUCUGCCUAUUAGUGGGGGACAACAUUUCGAAAGGAAUGCUAAUACCGCAUACGUCCUACGGGAGAAAGCAGGGGAUCUUCGGACCUUGCGCUAAUAGAUGAGCCUAAGUCGGAUUAGCUAGUUGGUGGGGUAAAGGCCUACCAAGGCGACGAUCUGUAGCGGGUCUGAGAGGAUGAUCCGCCACACUGGGACUGAGACACGGCCCAGACUCCUACGGGAGGCAGCAGUGGGGAAUAUUGGACAAUGGGCGCAAGCCUGAUCCAGCCAUGCCGCGUGUGUGAAGAAGGCCUUAUGGUUGUAAAGCACUUUAAGCGAGGAGGAGGCUACUUUAGAUAAUACCUAGAGAUAGUGGACGUUACUCGCAGAAUAAGCACCGGCUAACUCUGUGCCAGCAGCCGCGGUAAUACAGAGGGUGCAAGCGUUAAUCGGAUUUACUGGGCGUAAAGCGCGCGUAGGCGGCUAAUUAAGUCAAAUGUGAAAUCCCCGAGCUUAACUUGGGAAUUGCAUUCGAUACUGGUUAGCUAGAGUGUGGGAGAGGAUGGUAGAAUUCCAGGUGUAGCGGUGAAAUGCGUAGAGAUCUGGAGGAAUACCGAUGGCGAAGGCAGCCAUCUGGCCUAACACUGACGCUGAGGUGCGAAAGCAUGGGGAGCAAACAGGAUUAGAUACCCUGGUAGUCCAUGCCGUAAACGAUGUCUACUAGCCGUUGGGGCCUUUGAGGCUUUAGUGGCGCA